UCCGUAGUAUAGUGGUCAGUAUGCAAGCUUGUCACGCUUGAGACCCGGGUUCAAUUCCCGGCGGGAGAG
rnacentral:tRNA from 1 species